rnacentral:rRNA from 1 species
GGGUGACGAGCGGCGGACGGGUGAGUAAUGUCUGGGAAACUGCCUGAUGGAGGGGGAUAACUACUGGAAACGGUAGCUAAUACCGCAUAACGUCGCAAGACCAAAGAGGGGGACCUUCGGGCCUCUUGCCAUCAGAUGUGCCCAGAUGGGAUUAGCUAGUAGUGGGGUAACGGCUCACCUAGGCGACGAUCCCUAGCUGGUCUGAGAGGAUGACCAGCCACACUGGAACUGAGACACGGUCCAGACUCCUAUGGGAGGCAGCAGUGGGGAAUAUUGCACAAUGGGCGCAAGCCUGAUGCAGCCAUGCCGCGUGUAUGAAGAAGGCCUUCGGGUUGUAAAGUGCUUUCAGCGGGGAGGAAGGUGUUGUGGUUAAUAACCACAGCAAUUGACGUUACCCGCAGAAAAGCACCGGCUAACUCCGUGCCAGCAGCCGCGGUAAUACGGAGGGUGCAAGCGUUAAUCGGAAUUACUGGGCGUAAAGCGCACGCAGGCGGUCUGUCAAGUCGGAUGUGAAAUCCCCGGGCUCAACCUGGGAACUGCAUUCGAAACUGGCAGGUUAGAGUCUUGUAAGGGGGGUAGAAUUCCAGGUGUAGCGGUGAA